AAUGAUUAGUAUCAGAGAGCUGGAAGGGACAUGAACCAUGAUCUAAUCGAUUCCCUCAUUUUGCAACCUGUGGACUGAGGUUGAGUGGGGAUGUGACUUGACCAGGUCCCCACAUGUCCACAAGUGUCCUCUCUAUGACCCCUCAUUGCAAAACCUUUGUGGGGGUACUGAAGCAAGCGAACGAAUUGCUGUGAGUCUUUAAAAGUAAACAAAAACUCCAUUUGUCUGAAGGCAAAGAGACGGACUAAGUGAUUUCUCAAGUUUCCUUUCAGCCCGGGCUGGCAAUCGGUUUUCUCCAGCGUCUCAGGAACGUGUCAAACGUGGGCGUCCUGUUGGAAGCACGCUGUUGCAAGUUUGUCAUCUAGUGGUGGAAGGGCACUGAGCUGGAAUCCUGGGUCUGGAGUCAAUGAGAUGUCCAGAACAGGCAGGACUGAACCAGGUACCAGGAGCUUUGCACUCAGAGGAAGAGGCACCUAAAAAAGCGAGGACCAAACCAAACCGUGGUUGACCUAUACAAUGGGACAUGAUUCCGCCUUAAAAAAGGAACACGAGGACAUUGUGCUAAGUGAAAUAAGCCGGUCACAAAAGACAAACACUGUCUGAUUUCACUUAUCCAGGGUGGUCAAAUUCAUAGAAAUGGAAAGUAGAAUGCUGAUUGCCAGGGGCUGGGGGAAGGAGGGAAUGGGGAGUUAUUUAUUGAGUACAGUGUUUCUGCUGGUGGAAAUGAAAAGGUUCUGGAGAUUCAUUACUGAUAUGGUUUGGCUGUGUCCCCACUCAAAUCUCAUCUUGAAUUCCCAUGUGUUGUGGGAGGGACCCAGUAGGAGGUAACUUUCCCAUGCUGUUCUCAUGAUAGUGAAUAAGUCUCACAAGAUCUGAUGGUUUUUAAAAGGGGAAUUUCCCUGCACAAGCUCUCUUUGCCUGCCGCCAUCCAUGUAAGAUGUGCCUUUGCUCCUCCUUGCCUUCCGCCAUGAUUGUGAGGCCUCCCCAGCCAUGUGGAACUGUAAAUCCAUUAAACCUCUUUUUCUUCCCAG
rnacentral:lncRNA from 10 species